GAUAGUUUGGAUCUUGAAAAUCUGAAUCACAUUAAUCUGAGGGCUGCAACUUCUGCUGCUCUUCUCCUUUUGCCAUCCAAGUUUACAGAGGAGGAUCUAUAUGCCAAAAUAUGUAGCCUAUCAUAUAUGGGCGACUUAAGAAUGCUCUUUGCUGAAGACAAAAAUAAAGU